GAUGAACGCUGGCGGCGUGCCUAACACAUGCAAGUCGAGCGAUCUUCUUCGGAAGAGAGCGGCGGACGGGUGAGUAACGCGUGGGUAACCUGCCCUGUACACACGGAUAACAUACCGAAAGGUAUGCUAAUACGAGAUAAUAUGCUUUUAUCGCAUGGUAGAAGUAUCAAAGCUCCGGCGGUACAGGAUGGACCCGCGUCUGAUUAGCUAGUUGGUAAGGUAACGGCUUACCAAGGCGACGAUCAGUAGCCGACCUGAGAGGGUGAUCGGCCACAUUGGAACUGAGACACGGUCCAAACUCCUACGGGAGGCAGCAGUGGGGAAUAUUGCACAAUGGGCGAAAGCCUGAUGCAACAACGCCGCGUGAGCGAUGAAGGCCUUCGGGUCGUAAAGCUCUGUCCUCAAGGAAGAUAAUGACGGUACUUGAGGAGGAAGCCCCGGCUAACUACGUGCCAGCCGCCGCCGUAAUAC
rnacentral:rRNA from 1 species